UUUUUUUUUUUUUUUUUGAGGUCUUGAACCAGGACUUCCUAAUUACAAUCUCUCCUAUCUUAUAAGAACAUUUAUAUGUAAUCUGAUCCAAAGCCUAAACGUCCAUUUAUUGCAAACACAAGUGUAUGCAUGCUUACUUCUAUACUUGCAUAUUACUGAUAAAGAAGCAAUUACCAAAGUUCAAAUUGAACUUGGGUGGAAAUCUCUUUUAGAGUUGUAUGAAACAUCAUAUUUUUGUUGAUUACUCAUUUCAAGUGUUUUGAGGUGAAAAUUUUCCUGGGCAUGAAAUUUACUCAUCAAGCCUUUAUGACAAGCACUAUUGUCAUUUGGUCAGCAAAAAAUUAGAUCUAAUUAGUGGUCUGUCGUUGCCAACUAAACCAACUUGUAUUGGCUUACUAUUUGUUAGGUAGCUUCAAUAUGUGAAGCCCAAGUUGCAAGCUGGAAUUAAGCUGAUUCAAAUUAGGAAAACGAUAAGCCCCUUGGUCCACAUGUCAAAGGAACAAUAAAUUCUGAUAUGUCACAUGUAAUGCCUAAUGAACGUUCAAAUAUAGGUGGGCAGAAGUUGCAUUCAUGGUUCUCACGGAUGACAGAGGAAUCUAGUUCCAGAUGCUCAUUCAUUUCGGCAAAUAGGGACUUGCCAAAAUUCAGUUACAUGUAAAGUUGGAAAGACUUAUGUCACAUCACCAGCUGAGCUCUGCAAUGACAAGGGAAACUGUGUCCAUGUGAAUUCCAUCUCAUGAUUAGUCAGUGUAACAAAAAGAGAGUUUUAAUGGUUUAGCAACUGAUGGUAAAAUGAACCUAGGAGUCAGGGUGUAGGCCAAAUUUCAACUUUUGCUGGCUUGUAAUGGUGAGAAGAAAGAAAAAGAUUGCCUUGAACCUUCUAUAUUAUUCACAAGGGAAAUUAUCAACAACCAAUGCAGAAGGGAAAUCACCAACCUUUCUGUAGUUAUGCAGCAAGCAGAGUAGGCAAAUGCACAUUCUAGGCAACUAGCAAUGUUACGCAAUCUGCACGAAACAUCUCAAAAGAGGAACAAUCGUGUGUAUCAGUUAGACUGCAGAUUUUCAUUUUUUUUUUCUUUGUGCAAUGUUGUAGAAAGUCAGAAAAUGAAUUGAAGCACAAUUAUAGGAACGGUAUGAAAGUUAAGGGUUUCCAGAAAAGGAUCACCAUUUACAUUGUUUAAUAGAAUUAUUCCAAUGAUUUGGUGUCCAUAAAACAAUGAGAGGAGAAGAAUGCUAACUAGCGAUCUGUUUUGUCUAACUUUCUCAUCUAAAAUACUCUUUUCUGAUAUAUGCCUGGUUGAAUCUGAAAGUUUCAUGAUCGCUUCGGCUGCUGGUGAUUACUAGCAUGAAAACCUUCUGUGUAAGCAGUGUUCUUGAAAAUUGU
rnacentral:lncRNA from 1 species